AUUGGACAAUGGGGGCAACCCUGAUCCAGCCAUGCCGCGUGUGUGAAGAAGGUCUNCGNNUUGUANANCACUUUAAGUUGGGANNNNNGGCUUUAGGCUCAUACCCUGAAGUUUUGACGUUACCAACAGAAUAAGCACCGGCUAACUCUGUGCCAGCAGCCGCGGUAAUACAGAGGGUGCAAGCGUUAAUCGGAAUUACUGGGCGUAAAGCGCGCGUAGGUGGUUCAGUAAGAUGGGUGUGAAAUCCCCGGGCUUAACCUGGGAACUGCUUUCAUAACUGCUGAGCUAGAGUACGGUAGAGGGUAGUGGAAUUUCCUGUGUAGCGGUGAAAUGCGUAGAUAUAGGAAGGAACACCAGUGGCGAAGGCGACUACCUGGACUGAUACUGACACUGAGGUGCGAAAGCGUGGGGAGCAAACAG
rnacentral:rRNA from 1 species